rnacentral:siRNA from 1 species
UGAAACUCUAUUUUGCUCUUCUU